CCCUUAGAUGUUCUGGGCCGCACGCGCGCUACACUGACGAAGUCAGCGAGCAUGUCCUACGCCGACAGGUGCGGGGAAUCUUGUCAAACUUCGUCGUGAUGGGGAUUGAUUAUUAAAAUUCUUGAUCAUCAACGAGGAAUUCCUAGUAAGCGCAAGUCAGCAGCUUGCGUUGAUUACGUCCCUGCCCUUUGUACACACCGCCCGUCGCUACUACCGAUUGAAUGGUUUAGUGAGAUCUUCGGAUUGGCGCCACUGCGGCUCAGCAAUGGGCUCGGUGGAUGCCGAAAAGUUGAUCAAACUUGAUCAUUUAGAGGAAGUAAAAGUCGUAACA
rnacentral:rRNA from 1 species